rnacentral:tRNA from 1 species
GGGAAUGUGGCUUAGUGGUAGAGCGCUUGCCUAGUGUGCAUGAAACCCAGGGCUCAAUUCUGCAGUACCA